rnacentral:rRNA from 1 species
GGACCCGCACAAGUAGUGGAGCAUGUGGUUUAAUUCGAAGAUACGCGCAGAACCUUACCAACACUUGACAUGUUCGUCGCGACUCUAAGAGAUUAGAGUUUUCGGUUCGGCCGGACGAAACACAGGUGCUGCAUGGCUGUCGUCAGCUCGUGUCGUGAGAUGUUGGGUUAAGUCCGCAACGAGCGCAACCCUCACUUUUAGUUGCCAUCAUUAAGUUGGGCACUCUGAAAGAACUGCCAGUGAUAAGCUGGAGGAAGGUGGGAUGACGUCAAGUCCUCAUGGCCCUUACGGGUUGGGCUACACACGUGCUACAAUGGUAGUGACAAUGGGUUAAUCCCAAAAGCUGUCUCAGUUC